rnacentral:rRNA from 1 species
GACGAACGCUGGCGGCGUGCUUAACACAUGCAAGUCGAACGGAAAGGCCCUGCUUUUGUGGGGUGCUCGAGUGGCGAACGGGUGAGUAACACGUGAGUAACCUGCCCUUGACUUUGGGAUAACUUCAGGAAACUGGGGCUAAUCUCGGAUAGGAGCUCCUGCUGCAUGGUGGGGGUUGGAAAGUUUCGGCGGUUGGGGAUGGACUCGCGGCUUAUCAGCUUGUUGGUGGGGUAGUGGCUUACCAAGGCUUUGACGGGUCGGCGGCCUGAGAGGGUGACCGGCCACAUGGGGACUGAGAUACGGCCCAGACUCCUACGGGAGGCAGCGGUGGGGAAUAUUGCACAAUGGGCGGAAGCCUGAUGCAGCAACGCCGCGUGCGGGAUGACGGCCUUCGGGUUGUAAACCGCUUUCGCCUGUGACGAAGCGUGAGUGACGGUAAUGGGUGAAGAAGCACCGGCUAACUACGUG